GUUUCCCAAGGUCAGAUGUAACCCAAAACCGGAUGGUUCAAGUGAAAGAGGAGACCACCAGAAGUCUUCAGGUGCGAUCUGAAUGGUGAUCGGAACAGUAGAUGGGUUAGAAUUUUAGAGAGAAGGUAGGGAGGUUUAGAGAGAAGGAGGAGAAUUUGAGAUUUCAGAAAGUUGAGUUUGAGGAAGAAGAAGAAGAUUGCAUGGAAAAAGUGGCGUCAGGUUUCAUUCUUACCUUAAAUACUGCCUCCAUUCCGAACGGUCGGCCAACUCCCAGCGUGACACCUGACUUCCACUUUCUGAGGUUCACUGCUCUGCUGCUGCUACACGGAUCACGAAGGAA
rnacentral:lncRNA from 1 species